UGUGCUGUCUCUCUCUCUCUGUGUGUGUGCUGUCUCUCUCUCUCUCUGUGCUGUCUCUCUCUCUCUCUGUGUGCUGUCUCUCUCUCUCUCUGUGUGCUGUCUCUCUCUCUGUGUGUGCUGUCUCUCUCUCUCUCUGUGUGUGCUGUCUCUCUCUCUCUCUCUGUGCUGUGUCUCUCUCUCUCUCUGUGUGCUGUCUCUCUCUCUCUCUGUGUGUGCUGUCUCUCUCUCUCUUUGCUCAUGCUGUCUCUCUCUCUGUGUGCUGUCUCUCUCUCUGUGCUCACGCUGUCUCUCUCUCUCUGUGUGCUCUCUCUCUCUCUCUCUCUGUGCUGUGUCUCUCUCUCUCUCUGUGUGCUGUCUCUCUCUCUCUCUGUGUGUGCUGUCUCUCUCUCUGUGUGUGCUGUCUCUCUCUCUCUCUGUGUGUGCUGUCUCUCUCUCUCUCUCUGUGUGCUGUCUCUCUCUCUCUGUGUGCUGUCUCUCUCUCUCUGUGUGCUGUCUCUCUCUCUCUCUCUGUGUGCUGUCUCUCUCUCUGUGUGUGCUGUCUCUCUCUCUCUGUGUGCUGUCUCUCUCUCUCUGUGUGUGCUGUCUCUCUCUCUCUUUGCUCAUGCUGUCUCUCUCUCUGUGUGCUGUGUCUCUCUCUCUCUCUGUGCUGUCUCUCUCUCUCUGUGCUCACGCUGUCUCUCUCUCUCUCUCUGUGUGCUGUCUCUCUCUCUCUCUGUGCUGUCUCUCUCUCUCUGUGCUCACGCUGUCUCUCUCUCUCUCUCUGUGUGCUGUGUCUCUCUCUCUCUCUGUGCUGUCUCUCUCUCUCUCUGUGUGCUGUCUCUCUCUCUGUGUGCUGUCUCUCUCUGUGUGCUGUCUCUCUCUCUCUCUGUGUGCUGUCUCUCUCUCUCUCUGUGUGCUGUCUCUCUCUCUCUCUGUGUGCUGUCUCUCUCUCUCUCUGUGUGCUGUCUCUCUCUCUCUCUGUGUGCUGUCUCUCUCUCUCUGUGUGCUGUCUCUCUCUCUGUGUGCUCUCUCUCUCUCUCUGUGUCUCUCUCUCUCUGUGUGCUGUCUCUCUCUCUCUCUCUGUCUCUCUCUCUCUCUGUGUGCUGUCUCUCUCUCUCUGUGUGUCUCUCUCUCUCUGUGUGCUGUCUCUCUCUCUGUGUGCUGUCUCUCUCUCUCUCUCUGUCUCUCUCUCUCUCUGUGUGCUGUCUCUCUCUCUGUGUCUCUCUCUCUCUCUGUGUGCUGUCUCUCUCUCUCUGUGUGUCUCUCUCUCUCUCUGUGUGCUGUCUCUCUCUCUCUCUGUGUGCUGUCUCUCUCUCUCUGUGUGCUGUCUCUCUCUCUCUGUGUGCUGUCUCUCUCUCUCUGUGUGCUGUCUCUCUCUCUGUGCUCAUGCUGAGUGAUGAGGACAGUCAUACAGGACGAUCAUUAGCGCAGGGCAGCGCU
rnacentral:lncRNA from 1 species